rnacentral:misc_RNA from 1 species
GUCGUCGCAGACUAUCAGUCCAAUAAUUUCUCAUUCUCCCAUCCAAACGAAACAGAGUGAAGUAAUGAUCCGCAACGUAUUGGGUAAAGCAGUGACGAAAUCGACGGUGAUGGGUUUACCGGAAUACAAAAACGGGGAUACCGAAAUCAGCAGCGUUGAGUUGGCGAAGGUAGCCCUAGCUUUGAAGAACUCGCAGGGGAAGGGGAAGGACGAAGAAGAGGCUCUGAGAUCCGUGGAAAGUCUUAGAGAGCAAUGCGAGCGACAGGAGAACAGAUUCACUCUCGGUUGGAUCUACAACGCCAGCGGCGGCGCCAUCACGCUCCUCGACAGCCGGAACGGGCGAGGUGAUCUCGCUGCUUCAACUCUUUACCCAUUACGAAUUGAGAAUGGGCAAUGGGGUGUGUUUCUUCAUAAACCGAGUUAUUCUGAAU